CUGCAAUCAACAUUCAUUGCUGUCGGUGGGUUUUAGAUUAGAAUAGCUCAUUGAUCAAUGAAUGCAAACUGCAG